rnacentral:rRNA from 1 species
CAUGCAAGUUGAGGGGCAGCAUGCUUUUAGCUUGCUAAGGCCGAUGGCGACCGGCGCACGGGUGAGUAACACGUAUCCAACCUGCCGUCUACUCUUGGACAGCCUUCUGAAAGGAAGAUUAAUACAAGAUGGCAUCAUGAGUCCGCAUGUUCACAUGAUUAAAGGUAUUCCGGUAGACGAUGGGGAUGCGUUCCAUUAGAUAGUAGGCGGGGUAACGGCCCACCUAGUCUUCGAUGGAUAGGGGUUCUGAGAGGAAGGUCCCCCACAUUGGAACUGAGACACGGUCCAAACUCCUACGGGAGGCAGCAGUGAGGAAUAUUGGUCAAUGGGCGCAGGCCUGAACCAGCCAAGUAGCGUGAAGGAUGACUGCCUUAUGGGUUGUAAACUUCUUUUAUAAAGGAAUAAAGUCGGGUAUGGAUACCCGUUUGCAUGUACUUUAUGAAUAAGGAUCGGCUAACUCCGUGCCAGCAGCCGCGGUAAUACGGAGGAUCCGAGCGUUAUCCGGAUUUAUUGGGUUUAAAGGGAGCGUAGAUGGAUGUUUAAGUCAGUUGUGAAAGUUUGCGGCUCAACCGUAAAAUUGCAGUUGAUACUGGAUAUCUUGAGUGCAGUUGAGGCAGGCGGAAUUCGUGGUGUAGCGGUGAAAUGCUUAGAUAUCACGAAGAACUCCGAUUGCGAAGGCAGCCUGCUAAGCUGCAACUGACACUGAGGCUCGAAAGUGUGGGUAUCAAACAGGAUUAGAUACCCUGGUAGUCCACACGGUAAACGAUGAAUACUCGCUGUUUGCGAUAUACAGCAAGCGGCCAAGCGAAAGCGUUAAGUAUUCCACCUGGGGAGUACGCCGGCAACGGUGAAACUCAAAGGAAUUGACGGGGGCCCGCACAAGCGGAGGAACAUGUGGUUUAAUUCGAUGAUACGCGAGGAACCUUACCCGGGCUUAAAUUGCAGAUGAAUUACGGUGAAAGCCGUAAGCCGCAAGGCAUCUGUGAAGGUGCUGCAUGGUUGUCGUCAGCUCGUGCCGUGAGGUGUCGGCUUAAGUGCCAUAACGGGCGCAACCCUUGUUGUCAGUUACUAACAGGUUCCGCUGAGGACUCUGACAAGACCGCCAUCGUAAGAUGUGAGGAAGGUGGGGAUGACGUCAAAUCAGCACGGCCCUUACGUCCGGGGCUACACACGUGUUACAAUGGGGGGUACAGAGGGCCGCUACCACGCGAGUGGAUGCCAAUCCCCAAAACCUCUCUCAGUUCGGACUGGAGUCUGCAACCCGACUCCACGAAGCUGGAUUCGCUAGUAAUCGCGCAUCAGCCACGGCGCGGUGAAUACGUUCCCGGGCCUUGUACACACCGCCCGUCAAGCCAUGGGAGCCGGGGGUACCUGAAGUGCGUAACCGCGAGGAGCGCCCUAGGGUAAAACUGGUGACUGGGGCU